GGUGAAGAAGAAGCACCCAAACAAAAAAAUAUCAAUGGAUACAACGAGGUUCUGGUGGAGAUUUAUGGCCAAUAAAGGGGAUUUUAAACAAGAUAUCAUGUUGGCGGCCCUGGGUCUAUAUAAAAAAACUUGAUGGCCGAUUCUGAAAGAUGGCGGAUCGAAGAAGAAUGAAAUGGUUUUGUUCCCGAUGGGCCGGUGGACUCGGUAUUAAGGUGGUUCCGGAAAUUUAAGCUAAUAAAAUUCAAUUGGACUUGGGAUUUAGCCCUUGAUUGCUGCUCCCGUUCAGGAAAGGUUAUAAAUUCAGAUGGGACCUGGACCGGAAGACAGAAGGCGGUAUAUGGACCCCGUUGUUAUUCUAAAAACUUUUAAUCAUCAAAUUCUUUGGUCAUGAUGAAAAUCUACAGCCUCAACUGUAAGACCGAGAGGAAAAUUUCUCCAAUCAACAAAAUUUUAAUCGGU